GUGAAUCAUCAAAUUUUUGAACGCAAAUUGCGCUUCCUGGCAUCCCGGGAUGUGUGCCUGGUUGAGGUUCAGUAUUAAUAAUAUUUCGGUUUAGUGACAAAUUGUGACGUUUCCGGAGUUUGGGCUAUCUUAACAUUUUUUGUUAAUUAGCUUAGAUUUGACCUUUUUCGCGCAUUUUUAAACGUACAUAACUUUUUUUUAGUCGUCUAUUCUUAAUGCCAAAAUCUUAUUAGAUGCGAUUACAUCGUGUGGCUUCGCGUCCAUCAAAUUUUCAUUAUUUG
rnacentral:misc_RNA from 1 species